rnacentral:rRNA from 1 species
UGGGGAAUAUUGCACAAUGGGCGCAAGCCUGAUGCAGCCAUGCCGCGUGUGUGAAGAAGGCCUUCGGGUUGUAAAGCACUUUCAGCGAGGAGGAAGGUGGUGAACUUAAUACGUUCAUCAAUUGACGUUACUCGCAGAAGAAGCACCGGCUAACUCCGUGCCAGCAGCCGCGGUAAUACGGAGGGUGCAAGCGUUAAUCGGAAUUACUGGGCGUAAAGCGCACGCAGGCGGUUUGUUAAGUCAGAUGUGAAAUCCCCGGGCUCAACCUGGGAACUGCAUUUGAAACUGGCAAGCUAGAGUCUCGUAGAGGGGGGUAGAAUUCCAGGUGUAGCGGUGAAAUGCGUAGAGAUCUGGAGGAAUACCGGUGGCGAAGGCGGCCCCCUGGACGAAGACUGACGCUCAGGUGCGAAAGCGUGGGGAGCAAACAGGAUUAGAUGCCCUGGUAGUCCACGCUGUAAACGAUGUCGAUUUUGGAGGUUGUGCCCUUGAGGCGUGGCUUCCGGAGCUAACGCGUUAAAUCGACCGCCUGGGGAGUACGGCCGCAAGGUUAAAAA